ACCGCCCCUUCAGUAGGGACCGCCCCUCUUUUUGACACCGUCCAAUCCACAGUGGGCGCUUUAAUCCUCCCCGCCCUCGCCACCAAAGGAUCGUCUUCCAGGGCCAACAGUCGUACAAAAAGCUGAUGUCGGUAUGUCCGGCCAGAGGUAGACGGCCCGCGGGGCCAAUCGGAGUGCAGGCAGGGCAGCAGGCCCCGCCUCCGAAACAACAGAAAGCACUUGACAGGCUUGCUCUCCAAUGGGAAGCCCCAGAAAGGUGUUGCGCGGAGGCGGACCUACGCGGUACAGACAUCUCUGCGCCUGCUCAAAGGCCCUGGACACUUGGAGACUAGAUGGGGAAACUGACAUGAAGAGGAGUCCAAAGUGUCACAGUCAACCCAGAAUUGUUGCUUCUCAAGUCCUGAGUCCACCUCCUGGCACUGCUAAGAAGUCCACCUGGAGGUGAUGAGAACUUACAGGCUUUGGUAAUGGACAACUCUGGAUGCCUGGGGCCUUCAUUCCUUUUGGCAUUACAGAACCACAAGAAGUCAUCUAGAAUCAUCGAGAUUCUCAACUCCAUUGGCCAAGCUGGAACCAGCAAAAUCUCAGACAUCUAGAAUUGCCACUGCUUCCUUGGCUCUGUGAUCAGUCUAGAGCCACAGAAUCCUGAUUCCCUUUGGACAUUCUAGAAUGGCACUUAAAAAAAACCCACCCCGUGGAUCCUU